GGACAAAAGCUGGUGAUGAUUCAGUGCAGCUGGUCUCAGGGGAUGAAGCAAAAGCCUGAUCAACUUCUCUACAAAAACAAGGCUCAAUGAGACGGGGGAAGUAAACAGCGAUACAUUCACCCAGACUGCUGAUGUUCCUGUAUGAACUGAAAAACUUUGAACAUCCAAGAAAAAGCUGAGUGGAUCCCCAGGCCAAUACUCAGUAUCAGAAGAACAGCAGCAAGAAGCGCCAGGCACACUGCAGCCAGUCUGUGGCGUCUCCCAGGACUCAUAG